rnacentral:rRNA from 1 species
GACGAACGCUGGCGGCGUGCUUAACACAUGCAAGUCGAACGGAAAGGCCUCUUUCGGGGGGUACUCGAGUGGCGAACGGGUGAGUAACACGUGAGUAACCUGCCCUUGUCUUUGGGAUAACUUCAGGCAACUGGGGCUAAUACCGGAUAGGAGCUCCUGCUGCAUGGUUGGGGUUGGAAAGUUUCGGCGGUUGGGGAUGGGCUCGCGGCUUAUCCGCUUGUUGGUGGGGUAGUGGCUUACCAAGGCUUUGACGGGUAGCCGGCCUGUGAGGGUGACCGGCCACAUUGGGACUGAGAUAAGGCCCAGGCACCUACUGUAGGCAGCAGUGGGGAAUAUUGCACAAUGGGUGGAAGCCUGAUGCAGCAACGCCGUGUGCGGGAUGACGGCCUUCGGGUUGUAAACCGAUUUCGCUCAUGACGAAGCUUUGUGUGACGGUAGUGGGUAAAGAAGCACCGGCUAACUACGUG